AGUGAACGCUGGCGGUAGGCCUAACACAUGCAAGUCGAACGGCAGCACAGUAAGAGCUUGCUCUUACGGGUGGCGAGUGGCGGACGGGUGAGGAAUACAUCGGAAUCUACUUUUUCGUGGGGGAUAACGUAGGGAAACUUACGCUAAUAUCGCAUACGACCUACGGGUGAAAGCAGGGGAUCUUCGGACCUUGCGCGAUUGAAUGAGCCGAUGUCGGAUUGGCUAGUUGGCGGGGUAAAGGCCCACCAAGGCGACGAUCCGUAGCUGGUCUGAGAGGAUGAUCAGCCACACUGGAACUGAGACACGGUCCAGACUCCUACGGGAGGCGGCGGUGGGGAAUAUUGGACAAUGGGCGCAAGCCUGAUCCAGCCAUACCGCGUGGGUGAAGAGGGCCUUCGGGUUGUAAAGCCCUUUUGUUGGGAAAGAAAAGCAGCAGAUUAAUACCCCGCUGUUCUGACGGUACCCAAAGAAUAAGCAACGGCUAACUUCGUG
rnacentral:rRNA from 1 species